AAAUCUCGUGCCAGCCACCGCGGUUAUACGAGAGACCCUAAUUAAUAAUUACGGCGUAAAGAGUGGUUAAAAAUUAAUAAAAAUAAAGCCAAAGAUUUUCCAAGCUGUUAUACGCACCCGAAAUAAUGAAGCCCUAUAACGAAAGUAGCUUUACUAACCUUUGACUCCACGAAAGCUAUGAUACAAACUAGGAUUAGAUACCCCAC
rnacentral:rRNA from 1 species